rnacentral:rRNA from 1 species
GACGAACGCUGGCGGCGUGCCUAAUACAUGCAAGUAGAACGCUGAAGGAGGAGCUUUCUCUUCUGGAUGAGUUGCGAACGGGUGAGUAACGCGUAGGUAACCUGCCUGGUAGCGGGGGAUAACUAUUGGAAACGAUAGCUAAUACCGCAUAACAGCAGAUGUUGCAUGACAUUUACUUAAAAGGUGCAAUUGCCUCACUACCAGAUGGACCUGCGUUGGAUUAGCUAGUUGGUGGGGUAACGGCUCACCGAGGCGACGAUCCGUAGCCGACCUGAGAGGAUGAUCGGCCACACUGGGACUGAGACACGGCCCAGACUCCUACGGGAGGCAGCAGUAGGGAAUCUUCGGCAAUGGACGGAAGUCUGACCGAGCAACGCCGCGUGAGUGAAGAAGGUCUUCGGAUCGUAAAGCUCUGUUGUAAGGGAAGAAAGAGUGUGAGGCUGGAAAGUUGACACUGUGACGGUAUCGUACCAGAAAGGGACGGCUAACUACGUG